rnacentral:misc_RNA from 1 species
GGCCCAUGGCAGAAAGCCAACGGGUCGUACUCGGUGUUUCCUCAUGAUUUCGUAGAAUGCCGUUCUCAUGGCUGAGAUGCUAGUUUUCUCUGCAGAGGCUAUAACGCCAUGCGCCAUGGCACGGAUUUUCUCUGCAGAAGCAGUUGCCUUAAGGACAGAUGAUUUGACACCAGAACUUGCCAUUGCAGGGCCUGCUACGUUUGACUUUCCAAAUGCAAGAGCAAGGGCCUUUUGGGUUUGAG